UUUUAGCCGCGAUUGAGCGGCGUGUCUGAGCUCUUUUUUGGAUUCGGCGGCUGCUUCGCAGCCGCCGAAUCCAAAAAAAGCGAGUAGCGAAAGCGCGAAACAGC
rnacentral:misc_RNA from 1 species